CAGCAUAUCCAGGAAUAUUGUUCUUAAAUAUCAAGAAGUGACAUGUUGAAUCAAUUACACGUUUAUUCCUGUGUAGUUUAUGAAUUAAUAAAAAUAAAUUGAAAUUUAUAAUAUUUUCAGAAGCAAUUCUAACCGUAUUAAUUUAACCGACCCUACACUGGGUACGAGUUUCAGAACCGAGGAACAGUAGUUUUGUGUUUUGUGUUGAGAAGGGAGGUGAAAUUUCCCACGGAAACAAACAUAGGGACACAGCCGUCGAAUAAAACGUCCUUCAAGAUCCGAAUUUGGCGCCCAUCACUGCUCCGCCAGCUGUCACAACACCAACUUGUUCUCUCUCUCUUCAUUUUCACCAUCGAUCCCUGCAUUUCUCUUGCUGCUAUAGAUUGGUGGAGCUAGCCAGCCUAGGCUAGGACUACGACUAGGAGCUGGUUCUUUCUGCAGCCGGAGAAGGCAGUUGUGAUAUAGCAAGUAGCCACUCACUGCGCUGGCAGGGACCAUUCUUCAUUUAAUGUGUGGGGACUAAAACGGAAAAGGAAGGCAGGAUCGUGGCCUACUUGUCGUUUCAUUUUAUCCGUGAGGCCGUUUUCAUGCAGAGACGUGUACAUGGGGUCGAUGGUCCUUCUCCGUCGAUCUCUUUGGAUUCUUGACUUCCUCGAGGGCAACAUGACAACACAUAAAACCAUGAUUCUUUGCUCUAUUCCACUUACUUCUCAACUUUCGUUUUAUCCAUGCCCCCAACAACCAUCAACAGCCACUGCUAGUAUACAAAUCUUGGAAAUUUUCAAAAUUCUAAAAAUGAAGAAGACAACAGUAUCAUAAAAUACACUGCAAAAAACACAGAUUAACCAUUGUGGGUCUAUGAUGCUGCACGAGAACUAAAUUACUCUGUUAAUAUGAUAACUAUCAACUCGAUCAAUAUAUCAUUCACUACAUCAAUUUCACAUAUUAAUAUAUUCAUCGAUAUUACAAGGCUGCAGGAUCCGCACUCGUGAUCAUGAUAUGAUUUACUCGAAUAUACGAUGAAAAACAAUUGCAGGGAAGAAAUGGGCAAAUACGUGGUCGUCCUUAGAAAGAGUGUCCAGAAAUGCCCACUUUUUUUAUAGAUCUCCGAGGAGAAGGUGCCCGGCCCGCGAAAGGGAUCGGUAGCGAGAUCCUUAAAAAGAAAAGAUAAAACAAAAGGAAC
rnacentral:lncRNA from 1 species